rnacentral:rRNA from 1 species
GUAGUCAUAUGCUUGUCUCAAAGAUUAAGCCAUGCAUGUGUAAGUAUAAGUAUUGUACAGCGAAACUGCGAAUGGCUCAUUAAAACAGUUAUUGUUUAUUUGAUAAUCGAAAGUUACAUGGAUAACCGUGACAAAUUACAGCUAAUACAUGCAUUCAGACCUCUAUGAGGUUGUAAUUAUUAGUACUAAACCAAUUCCUUCGGGAAUGUGAUGAAUCAUAGUAAUCGAACGAAUCGCAGAUUUCUGCGAUAAAUCAUUCAAGUUUCUGCCCUAUUAGCUUUGGAUGGUAGUGUAUUGGACUACCAUGGCAAUCAUGGGUAACGGAGAAUUAAGGUUCGAUUCCGGAGAGGGAGCCUGAGAAAUGGCUACCACAUCUACGGAAGGCAGCAGGCGCGAAAAUUGCCCAAUCCUGAUUCAGGGAGGCAGUGACAAGAAAUAACAACUCUCAACUAUGUUGAGAAGUGUAAUGAGGAUAAUUUACAAACCUUACCGAAAGCAAUUGGAGGGCAAGUCUGGUGCCAGCAGCC